AGAACUUACAUGCAAAAGUCAAACGAAAAGCUAAGCUAAAAACGAAAAUCAACAACAUUCUUCUUGACGGAUUGGGGUUUGGAUUUUGGUGGUGAGGAAGUGGUGUCUUGGGAAUAGGAAGCAUUGAAACAAGUGUUGAACGACAUUAAGGUGUAGGUGCAAGUGAACGCUUGAGCUUACGAGACUACGCUGAAGUUAUCCGGACGUGGAGCAUUCAUCUGUACUUGGUACUCAUGUCUACAUCACAAUGCACUGUGAAGGCUGUGGCUCAGCAACUCAAAAUAAACGGCCAAGGAGAAGAAACUUACCAAUAGAACAAUCGGCUCCCAAAGGGCAAACCAAGAGGCAUGGAGCCAAGAUAGUGUCAAAGGAAGGAAAAAAUUGGUACAAGAAGCAUACUAAGGCUUCUUACUCUGUGAUGCCUGCAUUGAUUGAGAUAUCCUAGCUCAUGAGUUCCCACAAAUCUUAAGGCGGAUGUGAGAACUUAGAAUGAAUUUUGCAUUUGCUAAGCCAAAUGAAUGCAACUUUAGCGUAGUCUGUGGGUUCUAUGGGAAUUGGGUGCCAGAGACUCGCAACCACUAUGUCACUGUCCAUAGUAAGAAAGUUCUUAUCACUCCAGUGAGCAUCAAUGCUAUCUUUGGGAUGUCUGAGGACACAGAACCAUAAGUUCUAACUCAGCUAAACAUCCCACCUCUUAGUGGACCAAGCAUAACGGUAAGAGAUAUCACAAAUCUCUUAUGUAUGCUCACAUUCUCCGAGAGACGUGAGUUUGGUUGAAGGUUGUGAUGAACAACCUCAUUCUAGGAUUGGGAUACACGAACAUCUCUCAUGAAUGGGUGUUUCUUUAAAUCAAUGAUGUGGAAGGAUCGGGUUCAUGAGGUCCACAUGUAUGCAUUUGGAGGGGUCAUUACAAAGAUGUGUCAUCUUGCAGGUGUUCUGGAGGAGAGCCUGGAUUACAUGGCACCACUGUACCCAACAGCAGUGGAUAUUACUGGUACGAAAGGGUCUGACACUAAUUUAGGCCCCAUUCUCACCAUUGUUGAGCGCUACAGAGGAGAUGAGCUGAUCAUGGCGAGAAUGUAUGUCUUGGAGAUGCCCCGACACAGGAUUGGCGGUAGGUCAUCUAAUAUGAUAGACUUUGGCAAGGUCAACGUGUGUUACCCAUUGAAUGCUUGAUAUUUUUUGAAUAUACUUCUUGAAAAGAAAUAUAAACGAUCAUAUGCAAUAUAUUUAUCCAACUAAGAUUCGGGGGUGAUCCCACAGAGAAUGUGGAAGAAUAUUAUCAAUAACAAAUAUUUAACUCU